rnacentral:rRNA from 1 species
UACGUAGGGUGCAAGCGUUAAUCGGAAUUACUGGGCGUAAAGCGUGCGCAGGCGGUUUCGUAAGUCUGUCGUGAAAUCCCCGGGCUUAACCUGGGAAUGGCGAUGGAGACUGCGAGGCUAGAGUUUGGCAGAGGGGGGUAGAAUUCCACGUGUAGCAGUGAAAUGCGUAGAGAUGUGGAGGAACACCGAUGGCGAAGGCAGCCCCCUGGGUCAAAACUGACGCUCAUGCACGAAAGCGUGGGGAGCAAACGGG